UACGGGGGGGGCAAGCGUUGUUCGGAAUUACUGGGCGUAAAGGGCUCGUAGGCGGCCAACUAAGUCGGAUGUGAAAUCCCCAGGCUUAACCUGGGAACUGCAUCCGAUACUGGAUGGCUUGAAUCCGGGAGAGGGAUGCGGAAUUCCAGGUGUAGCGGUGAAAUGCGUAGAUAUCGGGAGGAACACCAGUGGCGAAGGCGACUUCCUGGCCUGUUCUUGACGCUGAGGCGCGAAAGCUAGGGGAGCAAACGGG
rnacentral:rRNA from 1 species